GACGAACGCUGGCGGCGUGCUUAACACAUGCAAGUCGAACGGAAAGGCCCUGCUUUUGUGGGGUGCUCAAGUGGCGAACGGGUGAGUAACACGUGAGUAACCUGCCCUUGACUUUGGGAUAACUUCAGGAAACUGGGGCUAAUACCGGAUAGGAGCUCCUGCUGCAUGGUGGGGGUUGGAAAGUUUCGGCGGUUGGGGAUGGACUCGCGGCUUAUCAGCUUGUGGGUGGGGGAGUGGCUUACCAAGGCUUUGACGGGUAGCCGGCCUGAGAGGGUGACCGGCCACAUUGGGACUGCGGUACGGCCCAGACUCCUACGGGAGGCAGCAGUGGGGAAUAUUGCCCAAUGGGCGGAAGCCUGAUGCAGCAACGCCGCGUGCGGGAUGACGGCCUUCGGGUUGUAAACCGCUUUCGCCUGUGACGAAGCGUGAGUGACGGUAAUGGGUAAAGAAGCACCGGCUAACUACGUG
rnacentral:rRNA from 1 species